rnacentral:rRNA from 1 species
AUACGUAGGUGACAAGCGUUAUCCGGAUUUACUGGGCGUAAAGGGCGUGUAGGCGGUCUUGCAAGUCAGAAGUGAAAUUCCUGAGCUCAACUCGGGCGCUGCUUCUGAAACUGCAGGACUUGAGUGCUGGAGGGGAUAGCGGAAUUCCUAGUGGAGCGGUAAAAUGCGCAGAUAUUAGGAAGAACACCGGUGGCGAAGGCGGCUAUCUGGACAGUAACUGACGCUGAGGCGCGAAAGCGUGGGGAGCAAACAGGAUUAGAUACCCUGGUAGUCCACGCUGUAAACGAUGAAUACUAGGUGUCGGGGAGCGACAAGCUGUUCGGUGCCGCAGCAAACGCAAUAAGUAUUCCACCUGGGGAGUACAUUCGCAAGAAUGAAACUCAAAUGAAUUGACGGGG